rnacentral:piRNA from 1 species
UAUUAGGAAGUGGACCUGUUCAGCAACAGU